AACGAACGCUGGCGGCAUGCCUAACACAUGCAAGUCGAACGAGACCUUCGGGUCUAGUGGCGCACGGGUGCGUAACGCGUGGGAACCUGCCCUUAGGUUCGGAAUAACUCCCCGAAAGGGGUGCUAAUACCGGAUAAUGUCUUCGGACCAAAGAUUUAUCGCCUUUGGAUGGGCCCGCGUUGGAUUCGCUAGUUGGUAGGGUAAAAGCCUACCAAGGCGAGGAUCCAUAGCUGGUCUGAGAGGAUGAUCAGCCACACUGGGACUGAGACACGGCCCAGACUCCUACGGGAGGCAGCAGUGGGGAAUAUUGGACAAUGGGCGAAAGCCUGAUCCAGCAAUGCCGCGUGAGUGAUGAAGGCCUUAGGGUUGUAAAGCUCUUUUACCCGGGAUGAUAAUGACAGUACCGGGAGAAUAAGCUCCGGCUAACUCCGUG
rnacentral:rRNA from 1 species